rnacentral:lncRNA from 1 species
CAUGAAGCAAAACACAACGCUAAUCCGGCUAAUUAGUUCAGUGCUGGAUGACACGGCUAUGGUAGCGUGGGAUGAACCCGAUUUGCUACAAAACGUGAAACGGGUCAGGGGCCGUGGUUAGUUGAGUUGGUGUCGUAUGUGCCAUUGAUUCAUCUUUCGCCGUUAAUGGCCGUAAUGUUAUGGUUGGAGAGGCUAAAAGAAGCAGAGUAACAAUUAUAGAGCUGCUACAACAAAGCCUAGAACAACAUGCUGCAAGUGUACUGUUUUCUUCAACUAUAACCAACAAAAGGACCGUCAUAUAAGAUAUCGGAUUUACUUCGUAUCUGCCAACAAUUUAAAAAUGGAUGCAAUGUUUUUUUACACCCUUAACCUACGUACAAGCUGUCUCAUUUAAAUCUAUUUCUUAGUAAUAUGUCAACCCGCAUCUUUUGUUUUGUACAUAAUCAUAUCGCUCUACGGACUACAUGUUAAUAGCUAAUUCUGCAGUAUAGCAGGUUGUUUUUAGUAUUGUACUUCACUGGUAAGACUACAU